rnacentral:rRNA from 1 species
AAACCAACAGGGAUUGCCUUAGUAGCGGCGAGUGAACAGGCAAGAGCUCAGAUUUGAAAGCCUUUCGGGGCAUUGUAUUCUGAAGCCUUGGUCCUGGGAAACCGAUGUCUAAGUCUUCUGGAAAGGAGCGCCAUGGAGGGUGAUAGCCCCGUACGACAUUGACCCCACUGUAGGACCUUGGCAUGGAGUCGAGUUGUUUGGGAAUGCAGCUCAAAUGGGUGGUAUGCUCCAUCUAAAGCUAAAUAUCUGCGAGAGACCGAUAGCGAACAAGUACUGUGAAGGAAAGAUGAAAAGAACUUUGAAAAGAGAGUGAAAAAGUACGUGAAAUUGUUGAAAUGGAAGGGUAGGCCGCUAACCACGUAGAGUCGUGUUUGGGGGGAAGAUAAAAGCUGAAGAAUGUAACUCCUUGGAGUAUUAUAGCUUCAGUCCAUAUUCCCACCCGAGCGCGAGGACUUAAGACUCUGCUAAAUGGUGGUCUACCACCCGUCUUGAAACACGGACCAAGGAGUCUAUUGCCUGCGCGAGUAUUUGGGUGGCAAACCCAUAUGCGAAGUGAAAGCGAACGAUUCCAACCUUCGGGGGCAGAAUCGGCCGACUGUUUAUAGAAACAGAUUGAGUGGAGCGUGGGUGAUGGGACCCGAAAGAUGGUGAACUAUGCCUGAAUAGGGUGAAGCCAGAGGAAACUCUGGUGGAGGCUCGCAGCGGUUCUGACGUGCAAAUCGAUCGUCAAAUUUGGGUAUAGGGGCGAAAGACUAAUCGAACCAUCUAGUAGCUGGUUCCUGCCGAAGUUUCCCUCAGGAUAGCAGAAGCUCGUAUCAGUUUUAUGGGGUAAAGCGAAUGAUUAGAGGUAUUUGGAUUGAAACGAUCUUGACCUAUUCUCAAACUUUGAAU